GUGGGGAAUCUUGCGCAAUGGGCGAAAGCCUGACGCAGCCAUGCCGCGUGAAUGAUGAAGGUCUUAGGAUUGUAAAAUUCUUUCACCGGGGACGAUAAUGACGGUACCCGGAGAAGAAGCUCCGGCUAACUUCGUGCCAGCAGCCGCGGUAAUACGAAGGGGGCUAGCGUUGCUCGGAAUUACUGGGCGUAAAGGGCGCGUAGGCGGACAGCUUAGUCAGAGGUGAAAGCCCAGGGCUCAACCUUGGAAUUGCCUUUGAUACUGGCUGUCUUGAGUUUGGGAGAGGUGAGUGGAACUACGAGUGUAGAGGUGAAAUUCGUAGAUAUUCGGAAGAACACCAGUGGCGAAGGCGACUCACUGGCCCAAUACUGACGCUGAGGCGCGAAAGCGUGGGGAGCAAACAGGAUUAGAUACCCCGGUGUCC
rnacentral:rRNA from 1 species